rnacentral:rRNA from 1 species
CUUGGAGGAAUGUAUAGCAAUAGCUAUUUGCACUAAUUUUUUUUUAGUGUAAAAUCGACUAUGUUGAAUGAAAUUCUGGGUAGGUUUAUGAUAAUGACAUUACCUGUCUAUAAGUCUUGACCAAAUUACGUGCCAGCAGUCGCGGCAAUACGUAGAAGACAAGUGUUAUCCAUCUUUAAUAGGUUUAAAGGGUACUUAGACGGUAAAUAAAGCCUUUAAAAGGGACUAGUUUGCUAGAGUUUUAUGUGAAGGGGUUUUAAAGUACUACUGGUGUAGAGAUGAAAUUCAGUCAUACCUAAGAUGGCACAGGUUAAGGCGAAAGCAUCUUCUUAUGUAAAAACUGACGUUGAAGGACGAAGGCUUUGUGUCUCGAACAGGAUUAGAUACCCUAGUAGUCUAAGCAGAAAAUGAUGAAUGUCAUAGAUUAGAUAUAAUUUGAUCUAUAAAUGAAAGUGUAAGCAUUCCACCUCAAGAGUAAUUUGGCAACAUUGGAACUGAAAUCAUUAGACCGUUUCUGAAACCAGUAGUGAAGUAUGUUGUUUAAUUUGAUAGUCCGCAAAAAACCUUACCACAAUUUGAAUAGAUAUAAUUUAUCAUACAAGCGUUGCACGGCUGUCUUCAGUUAAUGUCGUGAGACUUUGGUUAGUUCCAUUAAAUUAACGUAAACCCUUACUUUAUUUUUAUAUAAAGUAGUUCACCGCUAUAUUGGAUGUGAUAAUAGGGAUCAAGACAAGUCAUCAUGACCUAAAUAUUGUGGGCUA